UUCCCCCGUCAGCCUCCUGUCUACCCUACACGUCUUAGAGGCGACGUCAGAGAUCCUGGGAGGUCCUGAGAAGUACAUGACGGUGGGCAGUUCGCUGAGACUCGUGUGUGUACUGAGAGACAACACACAACCACCCACCUACGUCUUCUGGUACCACAACCACCACAUGAUCAACUACCACGCCACCAGGGAGGUCCGGGUGGAGAACAACGGAGGUCUAAGCGUGUUGUUCCUGAGUAACGUAAGACCGGCGGACUCUGGAACUACUCGUGUGCUCCCUCCAACGCUCGGCCAGCUCACAUUUACAUACACGUGUUGAAGGGAGGAGAGACACCUGCGGCAAUACACUCAGGGGCCACCAGGCUCAGGUCCACCUCCUAUUACCCUCUACCACUCCUAUUGUCUCUUCUCCUCCUGGCCUCCACUUACCUCAUCAGGCCCUCCAACGCCACGACGUCUGGACAGGACGACUCACAACCAGCUAGAGGCUCUGAUCAACCCCAACCCUCCAUGGCUGCCCUUACGAGGUGUGAUGGAGUGGGUUUUCCUCUCUAUAUGUAUGUGGCUCACCAAACCCAUUUUCCACGCCCACGGACAUCUGAGUCAAGCCCACAGCGGAAGAUGGGCGGCUAUCUCCCUCAUCACCAUGAGAGGAUGUUGAGGGUGGAGGAGAAUUGUGUGGUGGAGUCAGCUUGGAGGAGGCACAAUAACGACACCAGCUCUCGGGUGUGUUCGGGCGCCAGGGAGAGCUGAGUGGGUUAUGCUCUGUGAUGGCCGGCUUCCAGGUGACCGCAGGCAGUAGGGGCUCUGGCGGCGUCCUGCUGGGUCCAGACUAGUCGUGUUGAGUCCUCCAACACAACAACCGUACGCUACCUUGCUAGCAACACCGUCAAGCCUGCGGUACUGGAGGUGUCAACAACCUGCACCAUCACGUAAACAGGGCAGCACUUGUCUUCCUCAGUUACGUCGUGCUCGUCCCAGCAGUCGCGCCGCCGUUGGCUCGCUUUCCUUUGUUCUACCCUCUACAGUUACACAUUCUACAAGGCAUUAACUACACUCUGGGAUCAUUAAUACAGAAAUUAUGCAGUACUUAAUGACAUUUACUUGGCUAAGCUACUUGACUUACGGUUUGUUAUACAAUAAAAGUUGCUGAUUUUUCUUGAGAUAAUUACUGGCGUCGAGUCCAUAGUUGUUGAAGUAUAAUAAUACAUUAUAACAUGAACAAGACCUUAGCUGUUGAAGUGUAGUAAUUCAUUAUAACGUCAACAAGACCUUAGGUGUUGAAGUGUAGUACUGUACUGUAAUUCAUUAUAGCAUCAACAAGUAGAUUGUCGCCUUCAUCCCACUACACCAGCGGAUACCUAACUAACUAUCUCUUGGUAUUAAACAACUGUUAUUGUCUAACAAAAAACAAUAAUGUAAGCAGUUGUUACCAUAUUACUUCGACACUUGGUAGUACAGUGCCUGUAGUUCAUAAAUGAGAUAUACUUGUAGUUGAUGGACGCGGGUCACAUCUUAUUAUAACAUGAAAAAACACUCUACAAUGAAAAAAGCCCUUAGUAAAUAGAUGUUAAAAUUAUUUUUCCUUACAUGACCUUCAGAUAGAUGCCAGGUGUUGUCAAAAGUAUCCAGGUACUUUUGUGUGCCACAGUACAUGCAAACAGUGUCAGGAAGACGCUUGUGUUGACUGUUGGAAGCGAGUCGCUGCUGAACACUCAUGGGUCAUUACAUAUACAACAACAAACCCAGCUUGGCCUGACAUAAACAGAUAAGAGCAAUAAGAAUAUAUACACUAGUUCCCAGACUUUGUUACACUGUAGUAGGGUACAGUGAUCCCCCAGUUAACGAGCACAAUCCGUUCCAGCAGGUUGCUCGUUAACCGAAGAACUCGUUAACCGAAACCAUUGUCUCAAUGGGUUUUUGGGUAAUUGGUUCCAGCUCACCGAAAAUUGCCUAAAUUCAA